rnacentral:rRNA from 1 species
CACGUAGGGGGCGAGCGUUGUCCGGAUUCAUUGGGCGUAAAGCGCGCGCAGGCGGUCCUUUAAGUCUGAUGUGAAAGCCCACGGCUCAACCGUGGAGGGUCAUUGGAAACUGGGGGACUUGAGUACAGAAGAGAAGAGUGGAAUUCCACGUGUAGCGGUGAAAUGCGUAGAGAUGUGGAGGAACACCAGUGGCGAAGGCGACUCUUUGGUCUGUAACUGACGCUGAGGCGCGAAAGCGUGGGGAGCAAACAGG